UACGGGGGGAGCAAGCGUUGCUCGGAUUUACUGGGCGUAAAGGGCGCGUAGGCGGUCAGCACAAGUCAGUUGUGAAAUCUCCGGGCUUAACUCGGAAAGGUCAACUGAUACUGUGCGACUAGAGUGCAGAAGGGGCAACUGGAAUUCUCGGUGUAGCGGUGAAAUGCGUAGAUAUCGAGAGGAACACCUGCGGCGAAGGCGGCAUCCUGGACCGGUAUUGACGCUGAGGCGCGAAAGCUAGGGGAGCAAACGGG
rnacentral:rRNA from 1 species